AUUGAACGCUGGCGGCAGGCCUAACACAUGCAAGUCGAACGAGUGGCGGACGGGUGAGUAAUGUCUGGGAAACUGCCUGAUGGAGGGGGAUAACUACUGGAAACGGUAGCUAAUACCGCAUACCAUCGGAUGUGCCCAGAUGGGUUUAGCUAGUAGGUGGGGUAAAGGUUCACCUAGGCGACGAUCCCUAGCUGGUCUGAGAGGAGGACCAGCCACACUGGAACGGUGAAACGUUCCAGACUCCUACGGGAGGCAGCAGGGGGGAAUAUUGCACAAUGGGCGCAAGGCUGAUGCAGCCAUGCCGCGUGUAUGAAGAAGGCCUUCGGGUUGUAAAGUACUUUCAGCGGGGAGGCGGUAAGGGAAGAAGAAGCACCGGCUAACUCCGUGCCAGCAGCCGCGGUAAUAG
rnacentral:rRNA from 1 species